GCGCCUUAAAGGUUGAGCACAUACCAUCACGGAACCAGUUAUGAAACGAGUUCAUACCACACAGACGUUCAUUUCUACUGUUAUAAGGUGUUGAUAUUUUUAUCUCUUGAAGCAUGACGCAGUUUGUGUAUUUUGUUGCUUUGUUGGUGGUUUGUGGAACAGGGCACUCACUGGAAACCACUGCCAGCCCUCAACAACAAAAUGCUGGCGAUACCAAGGACUUAUGUGAGAAAUCGAUAUCUACCCAUGGAUUUCCGGGUAUUCCAGGAUCCAGUGGUAUGCCGGGAAUGCCCGGCAUUCCGGGGUCACAAGGAGUGCAGGGAAGAGAUGGAGUUAAAGGACAGACUGGCGACAAGGGAUCGCAAGGAAUGCUGGGACAAAAGGGAGAGAAAGGAAAUGGAGGGCUUCGUGGAAAGAGCGGACCGCCAGGAAUGAUGGGAAUAAAAGGAGCGCGUGGAACUGUGGGCGAUCAAGGAAUAAAAGGCGAUAAGGGAGAUAAAGGGGAAAGCGUGACAAGUCCUUCUAGUGCAGUGCCACAAACAAACUGGAAACAAUGUGUGUGGAAAAAUCUGAAUGAUGAUCGAGAUAGCGGUAAGAUCAAGGACUGCUUGUUUAAUAAGUUGCAGUCUGAUACAGCGAUCAAAGUCUCAUUCCAGGGAAAUACGAGAGUCUAUGGUUCUUCUUCUAAGUGUAACCGGUGGUUCUUCAAGUUUAAUGGUAACGAAUGCAGUGGACCAAUGACAAUCGAAGCUGUUGUGUACAACGAUUGGCCAUCUGGGAAUCUCAAUCUGCUUCAUCACCGAUCAUUUGAGGGAUACUGUGAAAACAUCCUUCAGGGCACGGUUAGAGUGGAAUUAUGGGUAGAACAGUGUCCUGGUUAUACUGGUGACGCGUACACUGGAUGGAAAUCGGUGUCCCGGAUAAUGAUUGAGGAAGUAUCUAGGCCCCAGUCUUAAUUAAUCAGCUAUUACGAUCGAGAUCAUCGCAGCUUUAUCUGAUGCUUAUUUAGUUCUAGAAAUGAGAACUGUCAUUUUUGUGUGCGUUUAAUGAAACUGUUUUAGCCGUGCGACUGGGUAAAAGUAAGGCCAUUAAUGUGAUCAGUCCGAACAUAAACAUGUUCCAAAUUAGAAACCUAGAAAAUUCACGAAGCUUAGUCUACUUUGUACGUCCACAUUACUUAAUUAACGACGUGAAACUAAUUUUGUUACAUACUCCUUACAUGUAAUCCCAUUAGAAUAAGUUCUAAUUAAGUGAGCAAGUCAAAUGCAGACUCCAACAAAAUUGGUUUCUCUCGGUAUGAUGACUGCUGUACAGAGAUCGAGAUCAUUGCUGCUUUAGUUACAAUCCAGAACUGACAUUAUUGUGUGCUAUUAAUGAAACUUGUUUAGCUGCAGAAAGAGUUAAAAAGUAAGUAAAUGUGAUGAGUCUACCGUGAACAUUUUCUGAAAUAGAUAAUUCACGAAGCUUCAUUUCUAGUUUGCACUUUAAUUAAUUAAUAACGAGAAACUAAUCUUUUUGCGUAGUGCUUGCAUUUAAAGCCAAAAUUUAAUCCUAAAUAAAGAUACUCCUUUAGGAAUAAGUUUGCCAGUUAAAUCCAUGUUCGCUCAAAACUGAUUUUGCUCGGUAUGAUGGUUACUACUCUACAGGUUGCAGGUCUAUUGCACCGAUGUCUCACAGUUUUUUGUUCAAAUAUCAAUGUACCAUGUUACUUUAUAAGUGUUGUAUUAUUAUAGUCAUUUAUUGGCACGGGUAGGAAGGUGCUAUAAAAAUAUAAAUGUAGAGUGUUGCCAAUGUCUUUUCGGUGAAACUUCGUAACGUCUUGUACUGAGUCUUUAGAAAUAGCAUUGAAGAGAAAUAUGCGCUUGAAACUGAAAACGUUUUGAGCUAUAUUUUAAGAAUCAUAUGAUCUUGCAGUCUUGUUUAUGGCAA